AGACUACAGGAUUCCCCUAGUAACUGCGAGUGAAGCGGGAAAAGCUCAAAUUUAAAAUCUGGUGGUCUUUGGCCAUCCGAGUUGUAAUUUAGAGAAGCGUCUUCCGCGCUGGACCGUGCACAAGUCUCCUGGAAUGGAGCGUCAUAGAGGGUGAGAAUCCCGUCUUUGGCACGGAUGUACCAGGGCUUUUGUGAUGCGCUCUCGAAGAGUCGAGUUGUUUGGGAAUGCAGCUCAAAAUGGGUGGUGAACUCCAUCUAAAGCUAAAUAUUGGCGAGAGACCGAUAGCGAACAAGUACCGUGAGGGAAAGAUGAAAAGCACUUUGGAAAGAGAGUGAAACAGUACGUGAAAUUGUUGAAAGGGAAACGCUUGAAGUCAGUCACGUCGACCGAGACUCAGCCUUGCCUCGGCUUGGUGUAUUUCUCGGCUGACGGGUCAGCAUCAAUUUUGCCCCUUGGAUAAUGGCGAGGGAAAUGUGACACCUUUACGGUGUGUUAUAGUCUCUCGUCGCAUGCAAGGGUCGGGAUUGAGGAACUCAGCACGCGCCCUCGGGCGUCGGGGCUUUGCCCACGAUACGUGCUUAGGAUGUUGGCGUAAUGGCUUUAAACGACCCGUCUUGAAACACGGACCAAGGAGUCUAACAUGCCUGCGAGUGUUCGGGUGGAAAACCCGUGCGCGCAAUGAAAGUGAAAGUUGGGACCUCUGUCGUGGAGGGCACCGACGCCCGGACCAGACCUUCUGUGACGGUUCUGCGGUAGAGCAUGUAUGUUAGGACCCGAAAGAUGGUGAACUAUGCCUGAAUAGGGUGAAGCCAGAGGAAACUCUGGUGGAGGCUCGUAGCGAUUCUGACGUGCAAAUCGAUCGUCAAAUUUGGGUAUAGGGGCGAAAGACUAAUCGAACCAUCUAGUAGCUGGUUCUGCGGGU
rnacentral:rRNA from 1 species